rnacentral:rRNA from 1 species
GACAAAUGCCCUGCUUCCAGGAAAAGCCUCUAAGCAUCAGGUAACAUCAAAUCGUACCCAAAACCGACACAGGUGGUCAGGUAGAGAAUACCAAGGCGCUUGAGAGAACUCGGGUGAAGGAACUAGGCAAAAUGGUGCCGUAACUUCGGGAGAAGGCACGCUGAUAUGUAGGUGAAGCGACUUGCUCGUGGAGCUGAAAUCAGUCGAAGAUACCAGCUGGCUGCAACUGUUUAUUAAAAACACAGCACUGUGCAAACACGAAAGUGGACGUAUACGGUGUGACGCCUGCCCGGUGCCGGAAGGUUAAUUGAUGGGGUUAGCGGUAACGCGAAGCUCUUGAUCGAAGCCCCGGUAAACGGCGGCCGUAACUAUAACGGUCCUAAGGUAGCGAAAUUCCUUGUCGGGUAAGUUCCGACCUGCACGAAUGGCGUAAUGAUGGCCAGGCUGUCUCCACCCGAGACUCAGUGAAAUUGAACUCGCUGUGAAGAUGCAGUGUACCCGCGGCAAGACGGAAAGACCCCGUGAACCUUUACUAUAGCUUGACACUGAACAUUGAGCCUUGAUGUGUAGGAUAGGUGGGAGGCUUUGAAGUGUGGACGCCAGUCUGCAUGGAGCCGACCUUGAAAUACCACCCUUUAAUGUUUGAUGUUCUAACGUUGGCCCGUAAUCCGGGUUGCGGACAGUGUCUGGUGGGUAGUUUGACUGGGGCGGUCUCCUCCUAAAGAGUAACGGAGGAGCACGAAGGUUGGCUAAUCCUGGUCGGACAUCAGGAGGUUAGUGCAAUGGCAUAAGCCAGCUUGACUGCGAGCGUGACGGCGCGAGCAGGUGCGAAAGCAGGUCAUAGUGAUCCGGUGGUUCUGAAUGGAAGGGCCAUCGCUCAACGGAUAAAAGGUACUCCGGGGAUAACAGGCUGAUACCGCCCAAGAGUUCAUAUCGACGGCGGUGUUUGGCACCUCGAUGUCGGCUCAUCACAUCCUGGGGCUGAAGUAGGUCCCAAGGGUAUGGCUGUUCGCCAUUUAAAGUGGUACGCGAGCUGGGUUUAGAACGUCGUGAGACAGUUCGGUCCCUAUCUGCCGUGGGCGCUGGAGAACUGAGGGGGGCUGCUCCUAGUACGAGAGGACCGGAGUGGACGCAUCACUGGUGUUCGGGUUGUCAUGCCAAUGGCACUGCCCGGUAGCUAAAUGCGGAAGAGAUAAGUGCUGAAAGCAUCUAAGCACGAAACUUGCCCCGAGAUGAGUUCUCCCUGACUCCUUGAGAGUCCUGAAGGAACGUUGAAGACGACGACGUUGAUAGGCCGGGUGUGUAAGCGCAGCGAUGCGUUGAGCUAACCGGUACUAAUGAACCGUGAGGCUUAACCUUACAACGCCGAAG